AGCAUUUACAGACUACAUUCUUCUUAGUUGCUAAAAGUUGUUUUAAAAAUAAUUUUCAAAUUUUCUUUCCACCAAAUAACUUUUUCAAAAUUACAAAUUUCGCGCCCACUAACAUUUUCCAGCACUGAAAACGAUACUGCUUGAUAGUCGAUAAUUUAUCACUGACAAUCGAUAAGAAUCACCGCCACCGGCGAUAACAUGUUGUCAACUCUCUCAUAUUUACAUUAGGAAAAACAGCUGACUUUCAGAAUGUCAAAAAAAUUGGUAGAAAAUAUAUGCUGCGAAAUAGGGGAACAAAUGUGUGAAUCAAGACCAUGAACAUUUUGAAUUGGAAACCAUUGACGCAAUCAGAAUGAAUGCUAUCUGGAAAGGCAAUCUUGCCUGAGACAAUAGACGCAAUCAUGAACAGGUCGUCUGGAACAUCUUAAUGUUGCAAAGUAAUCUGAUGGGGAAGUAGCUGUGCUCCAAUUAUAAUCUUUACCAGAGAUCUGGAGUGGAAAUCGAUCUUGAUUUGGGUUAUUAAAUUAAAAGUUAUCUUUGUUAAGAACAUUAUACUUUUGCACAAAUGAUGUAAAUUCCUGGCAAGGACAAGCUCUUUUGUAGUUUUCUGCAGGAUUUUAAUAAAACUUUAUAAUUCUUUGGCUUAUGUAUAAAA